rnacentral:rRNA from 1 species
UGGCUGCAUGGCUGUCGUCAGCUCGUGUCGUGAGAUGUAGGGUUAAGUCCGCCACGAGCGCAACCCUUGUCUUUAGUUGCUACGCAAGAGCACUCUAAGGAGACUGCCGGUGACAAACCGGAGGAAGGUGGGGAUGACGUCAAGUCCUCAUGGCCCUUAUGGUAGGGCUUCACACGUCAUACAAUGGUCGGUACAGAGGGUUGCCAAGCCGCGAGGUGGAGCCAAUCCCACAAAGCCGAUCGUAGUCCGGAUUGUUCUCUGCAACUCGAGAGCAUGAAGUCGGAAUCGCUAGUAAUCGCAGGUCAGCAUACUGCGGUGAAUACGUUCCCGGGUCUU